rnacentral:sRNA from 1 species
GAAUACUAUGACAAAGGAGAUUACAUCAUUAGAGAGGGCGAGGAAGGAAGUACCUUUUUCAUUUUGGCAAAAGGAAAGGUAAAAGUAACACAGAGCACAGAAGGCCAUGAUCAACCACAGCUGAUAAAAACACUGCAGAAAGGAGAAUACUUUGGAGAAAAAGCUCUUAUCAGUGAUGAUGUGAGGUCAGCUAACAUUAUUGCUGAAGAAAAUGAUGUUGCAUGCCUGGUUAUAGAUCGAGAAACAUUCAACCAAACUGUUGGUACAUUUGAAGAGCUGCAAAAAUACCUUGAAGGAUAUGUGGCAAACCUGAACCGUGAUGAUGAAAAAAGACAUGCAAAGCGAUCCAUGUCUAACUGGAAGCUGUCCAAAGCACUCUCUCUGGAAAUGAUUCAGCUGAAGGAGAAGGUGGCCAGAUUUUCCUCAUCAUCCCCAUUCCAGAACCUUGAGAUUAUUGCAACACUGGGCGUUGGUGGGUUCGGAAGAGUUGAGCUUGUUAAAGUAAAAAAUGAGAAUGUCGCUUUUGCUAUGAAGUGCAUAAGGAAGAAGCACAUAGUUGACACCAAGCAGCAGGAGCAUGUCUACUCAGAGAAGAGGAUCCUAGAGGAGCUGUGCUCUCCAUUCAUUGUGAAAUUAUAUCGUACUUUCAAGGACAAUAAGUAUGUAUACAUGCUUCUGGAGGCCUGCUUAGGUGGGGAGCUAUGGAGUAUAUUAAGGGACAGAGGCAGCUUUGAUGAACCCACCUCCAAAUUCUGCGUUGCUUGUGUGACAGAAGCAUUUGAUUACCUGCAUCGACUAGGUAUUAUCUACAGAGACUUGAAACCAGAAAACUUAAUUCUAGAUGCUGAGGGUUACCUUAAAUUGGUUGACUUUGGAUUUGCGAAGAAAAUAGGGUCUGGACAGAAAACAUGGACAUUCUGUGGGACUCCAGAAUAUGUAGCUCCUGAAGUCAUUCUCAACAAGGGACAUGACUUCAGUGUGGAUUUCUGGUCACUGGGAAUUCUAGUGUAUGAGCUCCUAACGGGCAACCCACCCUUUUCUGGGGUUGACCAAAUGAUGACCUACAAUUUGAUUCUCAAAGGAAUUGAAAAAAUGGAUUUUCCCAGGAAGAUAACACGACGACCUGAGGAUUUGAUUCGGAGGCUUUGCAGGCAAAAUCCAACAGAAAGGCUGGGAAAUCUGAAGAAUGGAAUAAAUGACAUUAAGAAACACAGGUGGUUAAAUGGUUUUAAUUGGGAGGGACUGAAAGCACGGAGCCUUCCAUCACCUUUGCAAAGAGAGCUCAAUGGACCCAUAGAUCACAGCUACUUUGACAAAUAUCCUCCUGAAAAGGGAAUGCCUCCAGACGAGCUAUCAGGCUGGGAUAAAGACUUCUGACAGAAGAAAAGUUGAUUACUGCCUGUACACUACAGAAGAGGACCUCAAGGAUCAAUAAUCCAACACAUUAUUUUCUUUUCAGAGUAUUAUAAUAUCUUUGGAAGACCAUUA